rnacentral:lncRNA from 1 species
CAAAGAUAAGUGACCCACUCAUAAUGAUGUUGAAUAAAUGAGUAUUUUCAUAAUGGUUACUUCACAACAAUAUUUUGCUAUGGGUACAACUAAGGGAGCUGAAGCAAAGAGAAAUUAAUGAGAAACAGCUGGAUUAGGAAAUUCACUGAAGAAGAAACAUGAAUAAAAUUAAAUCUAAUGAUUGAGGAAAUGCAAUGAUACCAUAUUGGGUGGUACUAGACUGGCAAAAAUUAAAAGAGACUGCUAGUAUCCAUUUUGAGUGAGGGUAUGGAGGUUCCCAGGUUAGGGGUUGAAUCAGAGCUACAACUGUGACCUACACCACAGCCACAGCAACGCCAAAUCCAAGCCACUUCAGUGACCUACACCACAGCUCAGAGCAAUUUUAGUCUUAUCUUUCAUUGUUUAAAAUAUUUGUCUCUUUGACCUUGUAAAUUCACUGACAUAAAUCUUUCCAAGAGAAAUCUUCCCCUUUAAGCUUGAAGUGCACAAGCAUGUUAACUGAAGCACUGUUUCUAACAGGAAAAAAAAGAAAAAAGAAAAAAAUCUGCUAAUAAUCAAUGACUGGUGUCCAUUUAUAGAGAGAAAUGGAUAAAUUACAGUAUGCUCACACUAUAAAAUACUAUAUGACCCUUUAUAAGAACGAACCCUAAUGUUGAAAAUGUACACAGCAUGUCAAAAGGAAGCAGAAUAAUACGUAAAACUUAUUUAUUAUGUGUAUAUGUAUACUUACAUAGAAAAGGAUCCGUAAUUAUAUAUUCUAAACUGUUCAUAUUGGUCAUCUUUGAGGUGAAUGGGAUUGGUGUCUUAAUUUUCACUCUGUACCACUUUUCUAUACAGUUCUAAGUUUUUACAGGAGCACAUGUUUUAAUUAAUUUAAAAUUGAACCAAAAGAGGCAGUUUAGUAUUUUUCUUUGCACUUGAGGAUUACUGUAGUGAUACAUGGAAAAGUCCAUAUAAAGUUGCAAUUCUGGAGUUCUCUUGUGGUGCAGUCAGUUAAGGAUCUGGGGUUGUCACUACUGCAGCAGCUUGUGUUGCUGCUGAGGCACAGGUUUGAUCCCUGGCCCAGUAAUAUUUACAUGCUGCAGGUGCAGCCAAAAAAAGAAAAGAAAAGAAAAAGAAUUUGACUUUAAAAAAAAAAAAAAGAAAAACCUUUCAAUUCCAAUAUAUCUCAUUUGAGGUGGCCGACUAAGUUUUGGGAUUUUUUUCAUCUUGAUGUUUAUUUUGAGCUUUUUAAAAUUAUAGUUCUGAAUUGCACAUGAUGCAUGACGACCCAGCUUCACACGAGCUUCAUUCAAACUCUAGAGGGGCAACAGGCAACUUCUCUCAAUACUAGACAUCUUAGAAAAAUAAAAUAAAUCUUGGAAAACAAGGCUCCUCUUUUCUUAAUGUGCUAUUCAGAAUAUACAGUAGGAACCUAGGAAUACUUUUUGGAAUAAAAUAAAUACAACAAAAACUAUGUGAAUAUAGAAUUUUUGCAUGCGUUUAGAAGAGAUGAGAAAACUACCUUGGGGUGGAUGAGAUGAGAAGCAGACAGGUAGUCUUGAGCAGUUAGUACACAAAAAGCAGCCACAGACAGUUCUUGAGUUGGGAGUCAAAACAAAGUGCCUCAUGUAAAACAUUAUUUUCUCAGAGUAUUUAGGUACUAAUUAGUAAAUUGCUGAAAUAAACCAAAAGGCCCUAUACAAUAAAUAACUGCCAGAAAACAUAAUUGAAAACAAACAAUCCAGCUGCAUAAACAGCCACUGGGUCCCUAGAUGAUAUCACACAGACAUUCUCCCAGGGAGAGUAAAGUUAGAUAUUAGUGAAAGGUGAAAAUAUUUAAAUAGGCUGAAGUUUGGGGAGUGGCUAUAAGAGCUUUAUCUUCUCUCAGGGUCUUCAGCAUUCUGACUGUGUUGUGAUAUAAAAAUGUACCAAAAAAGAAUCAAACAUUUAUCAAAUCUCUUAGCUCCAAUGGGUCCUUUGGAGGUAAAAAACUGUACAAAUAACAACCAUCAGCAUUUUUUUUUUCCUUUCACACUCUCCUUGAACACAAAAGUGAAGCCAUUUUUCAAGGAUGGUUUUUAAUUUCAUUGUUCCUUGCUUAUGUUUCACAAUGUUUUUAUAGUAACUCAACGUGAAAUAAUAGAAAAAAUAUAUAGAAAAUAUAUAUAAAUAUAAGGAAAUAUAUAUAAAUAUAUAGGAAAUAUAUAUUU